rnacentral:rRNA from 1 species
GUGAAACCGCUUAGAGGUAAACGGGUGGAUCCGCAAAGUCGGCCCGGGGAAUUCAACUUGCCGUUUGGGCUGCGGGCGUUGGGUCAGGGAUCCGUAAAGACCCGCCUGGCGUUCGGCAGUCGUCGGCGAGUGCACUUUCCUCGGGUAGAGCGCCACGACCGGUUUCGGAGCGGUCAUAAGCCGGCUGGGAAGGUGACUUCCUCCUCGGAGGAAGUGUUAUAGCCCGGCCAGGUCGGCUCGUUCCGAGACCGAGGAUUUGCCGCGUCUCACUGCCCCUGGCUCUCUGGGUGCGUUCGACUGGGGAAGCACUGCUUGCAGUUCUCUCCGACUGCGUGCCUUGAUUGGUCGGGAAGCACGAGGCGCUUCGGGUCAGUGGCGAAUCGGUCGGUCCUCCACCCGACCCGUCUUGAAACACGGACCAAGGAGUCUAACAUGUGCGCAAGUCAUGGGGUUCUGUACGAAACCUAAAGGCGCAAUGAAAGUGAAGGUCAACCUCCGGUAGGCCUAGGUAGGAUCCCCGCGAGGGGCGCACUACCGGCCCGUCUCGACCACAUCGUUGGUGGGGCGGAGCAAGAGCGUACACGUUGGGACCCGAAAGAUGGUGAACUAUGCCUGAGUAGGACGAAGCCAGAGGAAACUCUGGUGGAGGUCCGUAGCGAUUCUGACGUGCAAAUCGAUCGUCAAACUUGGGUAUAGGGGCGAAAGACUAAUCGAACCAUCUAGUAGCUGGUUCCCUCCGAAGUU